rnacentral:lncRNA from 1 species
GAGGUCAGACCAGGAAGACAGAGGCCAAACCCAGCAUCACACUUUGACCUGCCCGGGAACACAGUGGCUCCUGGGAAAUAACCACUAAAGUCUUGAAAUGUCUUGAGUGAUUGGAGGACCUUUAUUUUUCACGCCUGAUGCCUUAUGCUGAUGAGAUGACUCAGCAGGGGAUGGCCAGGCCAGAAAGACCAAAACUGUAUCCUGAGGUUUGAGUUUCUGAGCCAGGUGAUGUCAUCCUCCAGCUUGGCCGGCCUCUUUCUGGGAGCCUCUGGUGUGAAAGAGAGCAGUGCUUGCCUUUCCCAUGUCUAGGAGUUUGCCUAAAUCUUCAAAGAUAUGUGAGGCUUGCCUAGAACAUCAUCAUCAGGAAUGCUGGUCCUUCAAUUUGUUUUUUGAAUUGAAGUGUAGUUUACAGUGAUCAAGUUGAAAAUAAGGCUCUGCAUGAAAGCUAACUAUUAAAAGGGUGUGGGCACAGGAGCAACCAACACAGACCCCACAGAAUCCCAAACCUAUGCUAAGAGGGAGCACUUCCAUCCCUCCAAACCUGUGCUAAGAGGGACACCUCCAUCCUUCUAAGCCUGUGCUAAGAGGGAACACCUCCAUCCUUCCAAACCUGUGAUAGGAGGGAGCAUCUCCAUCCUUCUGAACCUGUGCUAAGAGGAAACACCUCCAUCCUUCCAAACCUGUGAUAGGAGGGAGCACCUCCAUCCUUCCGAACCUGUGCUAAGAGGGACACCUCCAUCCUUCCAAGCCUGUGCUAAGAGGGAGCACCUCCAUCCUUCCAAACCUGUGAUAGGAGGGAGCACCUCCAUCCUUCCAAGCCUGUGCUAAGAGGGAGCACCUCCAUCCUUCCAAACCUGUGAUAGGAGGGAGCACCUCCAUCCUUCCGAACCUGUGCUAAGAGGGACACCUCCAUCCUUCCAAGCCUGUGCUAAGAAGGAGCACCUCCAUCCUUCCAUCUGGCAACCCCACAUCUUUCUGUGCAGCAUUGGCUCAUGGAGUUUUGCACAAUCUGUUGCCUUAAUGCAGCUGUGAGGUGGUAAACCCCAUGCCAUUGCACAGCUGUGCUGGUGGAGUCUUCAACAACAGAGGGAUGAAACGAGAGUGCUGAGUGAUGGGUGGAGUGUGCUCACAGAAGCCAGCUGUGCUUGCCCCACUCCCACCCAAAAUGUUUACCCACGUGGGAAAUGCCUGCCCUGCAUAGGAGUACCCAAGGAACCCAGGAUAUAAAGAAACUUCUAAAAUGGAUCUGAAAGGGGGAAGAGCCCUCCCCUGUAAGGAAGCGAGAGAGAUUUAUUAAAAAUCAUCAACUUCAAAUUAUUUGGAUGGAAACAUUGCCAAAUCAUAGAGAUGUUUGCUACCACCCGCACACCAAGCAGCUGGGUAACUAGAAGUGCAGGAUCAGCUUAUUCACCUCCGAAAGCCUGCAUGCAACCACUGAGGCCGCCUCUAUUUUUUACAUAGUUCUACUUGGUGUAUGUAACCCCACAGAGAAACCUGGAAGAAUGCAUGAAACCUAGUAAGGCAACCAGCACAUGCAACAGAAUGAACCGUUUCUUUCCAUCUGAAUGCCUAAAUGUGGACUCUGAUCCUUUCUACCAAGUCCUAAGUUUGGGAAAAGAGGACAAGGACAGGGGCUCUGUCCCAUAUCAUAAUGUGCUUGUGAAUGGCUAAAAUUACAAUGCUGAGAUAAGUGUGUGUAAUAAAAUAAUUGCACCCCGAAUUGAAGAA